rnacentral:tRNA from 1 species
CGUGGUAUAGCUCAGUGGUAGGGUGCAUGCUCAGUGUGCAUGAGGUCCUGGGUUCAAUGCCCAGUAUCUCCA